UGGGGAAUUUUGGACAAUGGACGCAAGUCUGAUCCAGCAAUGCCGCGUGCAGGAUGAAGGCCGUCGGGUUGUAAACUGCUUUUGUACGGAGCGAAAAGGUCUGCCCUAAUACGGUGGGCUCAUGACGGUACCGUAAGAAUAAGCACCGGCUAACUACGUGCCAGCAGCCGCGGUAAUACGUAGGGUGCGAGCGUUAAUCGGAAUUACUGGGCGUAAAGCGUGCGCAGGCGGUUAUAUAAGACAGGUGUGAAAUCCCCGGGCUCAACCUGGGACCUGCAUUUGUGACUGUAUAGCUAGAGUACGGUAGAGGGGGAUGGAAUUCCGCGUGUAGCAGUGAAAUGCGUAGAUAUGCGGAGGAACACCGAUGGCGAAGGCAAUCCCCUGGACCUGUACUGACGCUCAUGCACGAAAGCGUGGGGAGCAAACA
rnacentral:rRNA from 1 species